UCUGUCUAACUCAUGAACUUCUUCUCCAAGGUAGGUUUACUUUAUUAAAUAUGACUUAGUUCAUUAUAUGUGUUUUUACUCUAAACACACGUGUGUUGCAACAGUAGCAAAAACCGUUUCUCCGUUAUUCAGAUGGUACUACUUUAUAUGACAAGAUCGCUAGCUGCUCAUGCUAGCUAUAGUAGCUAUCAGUUGAGCUCUCGGGCUGUCCCAUGUACAGACGAGAUCAGAAGCUCCCUCGUGUCCCCAAACCUCCACGAUACACGUAAGAAAGCUGUAUAUUGUUAACGUGUUUCCCGUUUAUGUCGGCGGGUUGUAUCUGUGAAACUAGCUCUGUUUAUGUAACUCUGCUGCGGUCUCACGGCGGCAAUUUACUUCCGGGUUGAGCUCGGCGAGAAAGAGCGGAUAUAACGAGCUGACUCGCGUCCCAAACCUCCGCGAUACACAAGAGCGGAUAUAACGAGCUGACUCGCGUCCCAAACCUUCGUGUUACACGUAAGAAAGCUGUGUGUUGUUCACGCGUUACCCGUUUUAAUUCGGCGGGUUAUAUCUGUGAAACUAUGGCUCUGUUUCCGUAACUGCCGCUGUCUCUAUUCCGGUUUGAGUUCUGCGAGAUGUAAACAAAGAGCACGUGACGCUAAACGUGCCGUGAUGUUUCCCCAGCUAACAUGACUCAAAUAGCUAGUGUAACACUAUAUUCUAUGUCUAAAUCGUGAAUACACUAAGAGGCUGGUCAUCCUUCUCAUGCAGUUAUUGAAGGUUACUGGUCUGUUGUUUUGAGUUGAAGUCAUUCAAUGAGCAGUGUGUGCUGAUCAAUGCAUUGAGUAUUCUCAUUAAAAUAAUCUGUUGCUGGUCUGACAGCAUUUUAGCCUUAUUUGUUCAGCUGUAACUCUCACAAUGUAAAAUAGACUUGGGGUGCAAAUGGAACAAUAUAUCACAAUAUAUUUUUAGCAUAUAUUCAGUGAUUCACUGCGUCAGCUCUUUGAUCCUUGUUGCAGUGUGACCUGUCGGAGUUGUCUUACAGUCACGGGCAGGACGCAGUGUUACUUGCUCUGGUUACUUGUUUAAUGUUGUGAUUACUAUACGCUAUGAAAGGAACCCUUAUUUAUGCUUAGAAUUAUGUGAUCUAAAGCUGGGGUUCAGAGGUUUUAAAGUGUAUUUUGAAUAUGAAUCAGUGCAGCCCCUAUAUGUUCUUGUUAGACUUUAGAAUAGGCCAUGCACACUGCUGUAAGUUAUUUGCCAUUUAAUAAACGUUUAAUAGACUUUUCAAAUAAAGUCACUUUGGUAACUUGUGAGUAUCUCAACAAACAUCAUUACUAUAAUUUCUAAAUGCAGUCUUUUUUUCAAUCUGCAUUCCAGGUGACACACAAUCAGGCUCCUGCUGUGGCAGUGGACACGGAGACGCCUUUAGACUGGACUACAUAUGAUGGAUGUGACCCAAAUAGAGCUACAGUCAGGUGACACACAAUCAGGCUCCUGCUGUGGCAGUGGACACGGAGACGCCUUUAGACUGGACUACCUAUGAUGGAUGUGACCCAAAUAGAGCUACAGUCAGGUGACACACAAUCAGGCUCCUGCUGUGGCAGUGGACACGGAGACGCCUUUAGACUGGACUAGCUAUGAUGGAUGUGACCCAAAUAGAGCUACAGUCAGGUGACACACAAUCAGGCUCCUGCUGUGGCAGUGGACACGGAGACGCCUUUAGACUGGACUACCUCUGAUGGAUGUGACCCAAAUAGAGCUACAGUCAGGUGACACACAAUCAGGCUCCUGCUGUGGCAGUGGACACGGAGACGCCUUUAGACUGGACUAGCUAUGAUGGAUGUGACCCAAAUAGAGCUACAGUCAGGUAAGGGAGUAUUGUAAACACUGUUGUCUCUAUAUAUGUUGACCUGUACACGAUGUAGCUCUAUCAAGAUAGGGAUGUGUUCUCAU